rnacentral:rRNA from 1 species
AACGAACGCUGGCGGCAUGCCUAACACAUGCAAGUCGAACGAGACCUUCGGGUCUAGUGGCGCACGGGUGCGUAACGCGUGGGAACCUGCCCUUAGGUUCGGAAUAACUCACCGAAAGGGGUGCUAAUACCGGAUAAUGUCUUCGGACCAAAGAUUUAUCGCCUUUGGAUGGGCCCGCGUUGGAUUAGCUAGUUGGUAGGGUAAAAGCCUACCAAGGCGACGAUCCAUAGCUGGUCUGAGAGGAUGAUCAGCCACACUGGGACUGAGACACGGCCCAGACUCCUACGGGAGGCAGCAGUGGGGAAUAUUGGACAAUGAGCGAAAGCCUGAUACAGCAAUGCCGCGUGAGUGAUGAAGGCCUUAGGGUUGUAAAGCUCUUUUACCCGGGAUGAUAAUGACAGUACCGGGAGAAUAAGCUCCGGCUAACUCCGUG